rnacentral:rRNA from 1 species
UAAGGAAUAUUGGUCAAUGGACGCAAGUCUGAACCAGCCAUGCCGCGUGAAGGAUGAAGGUCCUCUGGAUUGUAAACUUCUUUUAUCUGGGACGAAAACGGGAUUUUUAUCUCAAUUGACGGUACCAGAGGAAUAAGCACCGGCUAACUCCGUGCCAGCAGCCGCGGUAAUACGGAGGAUGCGAGCGUUAUCCGGAUUUACUGGGUUUAAAGGGUGCGUAGGUGGGCUUAUAAGUCAGUGGUGAAAUCUCCGAGCUUAACUUGGAAACUGCCGUUGAUACUAUAGGUCUUGAAUUAUCUGGAGGUAAGCGGAAUAUGUCAUGUAGCGGUGAAAUGCUUAGAUAUGACAUAGAACACCAAUUGCGAAGGCAGCUUACUACAUAUAAAUUGACGCUGAGGCACGAAAGCGUGGGGA